UACGAAGGGGGCUAGCGUUGUUCGGAAUUACUGGGCGUAAAGCGCACGUAGGCGGAUUUGCCAGUCAGGGGUGAAAUCCCGGGGCUCAACCUCGGAACUGCCUCUGAUACAGCAAGUCUUGAGUCCGGAAGAGGUGGGUGGAAUUCCUAGUGUAGAGGUGAAAUUCGUAGAUAUUCGCAAGAACACCAGUGGCGAAGGCGGCUUACUGGUCCGGAUCUGACGCUGAGGCGCGAAAGCGUGGGGAGCAAACAGG
rnacentral:rRNA from 1 species